rnacentral:rRNA from 1 species
AGAGUUUGAUCCUGGCUCAGAUUGAACGCUGGCGGCAGGCCUAACACAUGCAAGUCGAGCGGUAGCACAGGGAGCUUGCUCCUGGGUGACGAGCGGCGGACGGGUGAGUAAUGUCUGGGAAACUGCCUGAUGGAGGGGGAUAACUACUGGAAACGGUAGCUAAUACCGCAUAACGUCGCAAGACCAAAGAGGGGGACCUUCGGGCCUCUUGCCAUCAGAUGUGCCCAGAUGGGAUUAGCUAGUAGGUGAGGUAAUGGCUCACCUAGGCGACGAUCCCUAGCUGGUCUGAGAGGAUGACCAGCCACACUGGAACUGAGACACGGUCCAGACUCCUACGGGGAGGCAGCAGGUGGGGGAAUAUUGCACAAUGGGGCGCAAGCCUGAUGCAGCCAUGCCGCGGUGUAUGAAAGAAAGGGCCUUCCGGGUUGGAAAAGUAACUUUUCAGCCGAAGGAGGGAAAGGCAUUUAAAGGGUAAAUAACCUUUGGGUGAUUGGACGUUUACUUCCGCAAAAAAAGCACCCGGCUUAACUUCCGGUGGCCAGCCAGCCCGGCGGGAAAUACGGGGGGGGUGGCAAAGCGUUUUAUCGGGAAAUUUACUUGGGCGUAAAAGCCGCGACGCCCAGGCCGGUUUUGUCACAGUCCGGAUGGUGGAAUAAUUCCCCGGGACUCCACACCUUGGGGGAGACUGCGAUUUCUCGAACGGAGCAUAGCUUAUAGAUCUCUGUUAGCGCGGGGGGGUAGAAAAUCUCACGCUGGUGACGCAGGUGAAACUGCGGUAGAGAAUCCUGGGAGUGAAUAACCGUGUUGCCGAAGAGCGGGCCCCCUCGGGACAAAAGACUGGACGCCUCCAGGUGACGAAACGCCGUGGGGAGCAAACACGAUUUAGAUAUCCCUGGGUAGUCCACGACUGCUAAACGAAUGGUCGGACUGAGGAGGUUGUGUCCCCUUGAGCGCAGUGGCUUCUCGGGAGCUUAACGCAGUUAAAGUCGACCCGCUUGGAGAGUACGGCCCGCAGGUUAAAAUCUCAAAUGAAUGACGGGGGCCCCCGCCACAAGGCGGUGGGAGCAUGUUGGUUUAAUUUGGAUGCAACCGCGAAGAACCUUUACCUUACUCUUGACAUCCCAAGAGAACCUUUCCGAGAGGUGGGAUGGGUCCCUUCGGGAAUUCUGAGGACCAGGUGCCUGCAUGGCUGUCGUCAGCUUCGUGCUGUGAAAAUGUUGGGUUAAGUCCCGCAACGAGCCGCAACCCUUUAUCCUUUGUUGCCAGCGAGUAAUGUCGGGAACUCAAAGGAGACUGCCAGUGACAAACUGGAGGAAGGUGGGGAUGACGUCAAGUCAUCAUGGCCCUUACGAGUAGGGCUACACACGUGCUACAAUGGCAUAUACAAAGAGAAGCGACCUCGCGAGAGCAAGCGGACCACACAAAGUAUGUCGUAGUCCGGAUCGGAGUCUGCAACUCGACUCCGUGAAGUCGGAAUCGCUAGUAAUCGUAGAUCAGAAUGCUACGGUGAAUACGUUCCCGGGCCUUGUACACACCGCCCGUCACACCAUGGGAGUGGGUUGCAAAAGAAGUAGGUAGCUUAACCUUCGGGAGGGCGCUUACCACUUUGUGAUUCAUGACUGGGGUGAAGUCGUAACAAGGUAACC